rnacentral:lncRNA from 1 species
UUUCUCUGGGCUCUAAGGAGGUGGGUGGAAACACAAGGUUAUCUGAGGGAAGCAACUCCAUGGGCCUUGCCAUGCCUGCCCCAGCACAGGAGGGCAGUGCU